ensembl:lncRNA
AUUCAUUCCGUACUUUCGCAAGUUAGGGACAGAACGUGGAGCAUAUAUUUUAACACUGUUAGCACAGCUUUAGCGCAAACCCACAAGCCCGAAUAUUUAGCUGCCAGGACAGAUUAAAAAAUAUAUUCUGAAUAAGUGAAUCUCUCCUAAUGGAUAUUUCUGGAGGAUCCUCAACAUUUACGCAGCUUUUACGAGGUUUAACGGAUCUGGAACACCAUGAGGGGGAUUCUCAGUCUCAAAACCCCGGCAGCCAAUCGCCAUCAUCAUAUUUUCGCCCGACAUACAGCCAAGAAUGAUAAAGGAUUCGUUAUGGACAACUGACACAUCGGGUGACUUGGAUGCAAUUCUCCCGUUCUGUACGAAAAAAAAUUCAAACACACCGCGAAUCCCAGGAACCUCCACCCCCUCACGACAUAUUCCAGACCCCAACAAGCAACGCAAAACUGUGGCCCUAGUGCAUUAUUCAGAAUCCACCCCUCCAGAAAAGUACUACUGGGCAGGGAACUUGCGGCUUCACGAGCCAGCGCUCCAUGGACACGGUAUGAGACCUUUAUACAUUUUGUUAUUAGUUAUAUGUCUUUUUAUUAGUUAUACCUCUUUUGAUAGAAUAUGUUAAAACAAGGACAAAUAAUGUUUUUUCAGACUGCCAGGAGACCGGCCCUGCAGAAUCGGGAACACGAGAUGAAAAAAGUCACACCCCCCCGUUUCUGCGAUUCGUCAGAACAGCCAGCGCCAAAAAAAGCUGAGACUCCUCCCCGGCGAAAAACGGCACAGAAGGACACAUACAUCUAGAGCUGGGGGAUUCCGGCGCACCGAACAUUCCUAAUGUGACAACCAAAGCGGCGGAUAGCCCGGUUUUUAAUGACAUUUCAGAUGUUGACGACCAGUUAUUCUGUGAUGCGGCCAACCUUCUUGACCCCGUCAAUUCUAUGGCAUCAGGAUCUGCAAUAGAACAAGCAAGGUUUUUCACAUUAUUUUCCAGGGCUUUGAAAUCGAGGAACGUUUUGCUAUACAAACGACUGGGGGUUUUAAUUGAGAGACAGUACUGAGACAAUAUGUUAUUCUGGCAUAGAACAAUUCCACGCAUGUUAAACAGCAAACCGUAAAAAAAAAACGCAAAUACAGGCGCUAAAAUCAUAUAUGUAACACGUAUCAUUCCAGAAAUACCGCAAAACGCACAUCCUUAAUUAUCCAAAUGGCAGAACCACAGGAACAAGUUGAGACAGUUGAAAGCCUCUUAGCACAGAUACCGCCAGAACUCCUAGAAAUUAUUAAACGUAUGAACGAGUCAGGGACGCCCGAUGAAAGCAUAUUAUCCCAGAUUCCAGCCGAAGCCUUCAUAACCUUAAUUAAUCGGAUGAACGAGAGUCAGACAUUUUCGGCCCCCGCCACCCCAACAGCGAUAGCCCAACCAUUAACGCCCAUGUCCGUAGAGUCUGAAACACCACAUGAUGUUUUUGGGGAAUUGGAAAAUUGUCUAAUAAAUCUGGAGGGAGAUGGUAUUGAUAGAUGGUCUGGGUUGUGUACCGGAAUAAAUUCAACAAUACAGAGAUUCGACAGUUUUUCAAUUUCCUAUGGGUGAAUCAGAAUCUUGACCAUGCUGUGUUUUACGUAAUGAUAAUUGACACUCUGAACGAUCUGUUAGACACGGCAAGAGAUUAUGGCGAACCACGUGAUAUCUUACAGUUGGAGAUUUGUGGAGAUGCAUAACACAGUAUCUCUUAUUUUACCCAAUGGCGAAGCAGAUCUUGAACAAUUUAUUGCGCUGCUAGAACGCCUUGUUCAGUCAAAUUUAGCCGUCAUAGCAGAUCAGACCCUCGAGCUUGUAGUGCAAAUAAUACGUCAACCCCAGGGUGGUGGUGGGCAGAGAAGGAAGUUUGAGAGCCUAAUGCAGUCAGAAAUCAUAAGAAAUAAAAGGGCCUACCUCAUAAACGUUCACAAUCCAGGUAAUAAGCUAUGUUUUGCAAUAGGCCUAGCGCAUUUACUUAACCCUGGAUGUACUGAUCUGACGGCAUUGCAAAAGGCUAGAGAGCUCCAAACGGCCGUGGGUCUCGGUAUACAGGAUGCUGUGGCUUUCUCUGACAUAGUCAAAUUUGAAAACUUUCUGAAUAUCAAGAUUGUGGUUUUGUACCACAGUAGAGCUAAUGCAGCUCUCUUGAAGGUCCAAAACAACCCCCAACCGCAUCCUCAGAUUCUGUACUUUUAUGUGCAAAACGAACAUUACUACGCCGUUACCAACAUCACUGCUUUUUUAGACGCCCCAUAUGUGUCCAUCAUGCCAUACCGGCUACACCCGAAAGGGGGGGCACUGGUGCCAUUAUAACUGUUCUGUAUGUCAGGAUGCAGAGUGCCCAAUGCAACCCUUAAAUUUGACACCCUGUGAGGAUUGCCACCGCACAUGUCGUUCGACCUACUGUUACAAAAAACACAAAAUUGAAACAUGGCACCCCAAGGCAUGUAAAUCUGUAAGCAUUUGUGACAUUAACAAGGAAUGCCCAAAAUGGCUUUGCAAUUACAACCUUAAAAUAGAUAGCCCUAAACCGCAUGUGUGUGGAAUCAUACAUUGUCCAAUCUGUAAAGGGCCUUUGAAAAGCAGAGACGCUGAAGUGGUUCAAGAAGUGCCACACGAGUGUUAUAUUCAGCCCUUGGCUGAAGAUGAACAUUCAGAGAAAUAUGUGUUCCAUGAUUUUGAGACAAAUCAGCAAUCGGAGGAUCAUUUGCCUAUUUUUGUAUCUACCAUGACAUUCAAGGGGGAAACGUGGUCUGCAGAAGGAUCCAAUUGUGCACUACUCUUUCUAAAACAUUUUAGAAAGCCACAGUACAGACACUUCACGUUUAUAGCCCACAAUGCUAGAGCCCACGACUCUUACCUUCUUCUGAACCCCUUGAUACAGCAAGGCGUGGCACCCAGUGUCAUAGCUCAAGGUAGUAAAAUCUUGUGUUUUGUAGACCCAGCCUUCAACCAGAGAUACAUUGACAGUUUAAGCUUCUUACCCAUGAGAUUGGCUCAAAUGCCAGAGGCCUUGGGUUUUGAAAACUCUGUGAAAGGCUGGUUCCCCCACUUCUUCACAUCUGAGGAGAAUCUACAUUAUGUCGGAUCAUAUCCCAGCCCAGAAAUGUACGGGUGUGAUCAAAUGUCUCCCAAAGAGCAUGAGAGAUUCAUGACGUGGUACGAGACAGUAAGACAUGGCACCUUUGAUUUCCAUAAAGAGAUGGAAUCAUACUGUGACAAUGAUGUGGUUAUACAUCGUGAAGGAUGCCUCAGAUUCAGAGAAGAGGUAAUCAAAGAUGCAGGCAUUGACCCCUGGAGUUGUACAACUAUUGCAUCGGCAUGCAUGAAAACCUAUCGUACACACUAUCUGCCUACAUCCUCUAUAGCUAUCCCCUCGCCUGAGUAUAUGGCCCAGGAUAAAGCCAUUUUUAUUCAACAUGCUUUGAAUCGGGGGGAGAAGGCGUUUGGCUCUUACCAUGUAGAUGGCUACACCCAGAUUGACAGGGUUGAGACCGUGUAUGAGUACAACGGUUGUUUCUUCCAUGGUUGUAAAUCUUGCUUUGUGUCCCAGGCCAUGUGUGUCCUAACCCAAAAGGGGUCAGGGGCCCUCAAGGAAAACUUUUUUUCCCCUUUGUCGCACCUGCAGUGAAAACAAACAACAAACCCCAUGUGAUCACUCAGAUCAAGAAAGAGCCCUGACAGGGGUGUGGGUCACAGUUGAAUUCUCUAAGGCUUUAGAGAUGGGAUAUCGUGUGGCCAAAAUCUUUGAAGUGUGGAACCUUUCCAAGAAAUCAGACACUAUUUUUAAAGAGUACAUCAAGACCUUCUUGAGAUGCAAGCAAAUGGUUUCAGGCUAUCCUGCAUCGGUCACAGAUCAAAAGAGCAAAGACAGGUACAUUCAAGACUAUCAC